rnacentral:rRNA from 1 species
CCUACGGGAGGCAGCAGUGAGGAAUAUUGGUCAAUGGGCGCGAGCCUGAACCAGCCAAGUCGCGUGAGGGAAGACGGUCCUAUGGAUUGUAAACCUCUUUUGUCGGGGAGCAAAAGACGCCACGCGUGGCGUUCCGAGAGUACCCGAAGAAAAAGCAUCGGCUAACUCCGUGCCAGCAGCCGCGGUAAUACGGAGGAUGCGAGCGUUAUCCGGAUUUAUGGGGUUUAAAGGGUGCGCAGGCGGAAGAUCAAGUCAGCGGUAAAAUUGAGGGGCUCAACCUCUUCGAGCCGUUGAAACUGGUUUUCUUGAGUGAGUGAGAAGUAUGCGGAAAGCGUGGUGUAGCGGUGAAAUGCAUAGAUAUCACGCAGAACUCCGAUUGCGAAGGCAGCAUACCGGCGCUCAACUGACGCUCAUGCACGAAAGUGUGGGUAUCGAACAGGAUUAGAUACCCCAGUAGUC